rnacentral:tRNA from 1 species
GAGGAAUUGCUGCAUCUUGGACAGCGCUGCGAGAGGGCGGAAUCGAAC